CUUUCAGCUGCCGCCGGCUUCCAUGACUGCCUGAGAGAAACAUUUACAAAUCAUCCUUUCAGAGUCAGGGCGGUCCAAGGGUUUUCAAAAUAUUUUCUCUGCAGUUCAGAUGCUUUUGUUUGAGAACAUUUGCUCUCUCCGUGAGGCUUCCUUGACUAUUAUAAGUAGAGUCUUUACUAAUGUUUGCCUUCGUAUCAUGCCAGAGUUCAGGGAAGCCUCCUAUGUCUUCUGACUGAACCAUGCCGACGUGGGCAUUUUUGAUACUAAAGGAUGCACCUUUUGCAUUGGGUCAAAACCAGAGUCACCGGUGAGCUUGAGGUUAACGGAAACAUCCAAUUAGCUGGUCGCACGUCCCCGGAGCUGGCUGCUGAGGUUGGACAGAAUUCCCAAAGCCUACACCCUUCAGAGAAAAAAGAAGCUGUCACGGAGACUAGCAUUACUUCAUCUCCUUUUCUCAGUUAAUGUCAUUAUGGAGAUCUCACUACUUCAGAAGCCGGAGAGACUGCCCAGCCCAAACAGUAUAUGGUAACAAUGAUGACUUUAUGGUCCCUUGGAAGAAUGAUCAGAAUGCCUAUAAAAUGAAUUAAAAAUAAAUUAGGGUGAUCUCUGAUAGCCCGUGGAAACCAACAAAGAGACAUUACAGUUAGAACAUGUUUGGAGCUUGCAAUUAAAAUGGGUUGAAAAUGUUAAA